GGACUCUGAAGAGGGUGGAGUGGAUGCAGGCAAGGUGACCGCCGCUCAAGUCAAGGGACGAGCAGGCCUGCAGACCUUGCGCAAGAGCCACCAGACCGCUCAAGUAUCUUCUAUGCAAGCACAUCUUUCAGCAUUCCCUGAUGCUUUUGUUGGUGUUUCUUGUUACAGACUUGUGAUCUGCAAUACACAGAAAGAAAAGAAGCAUUAUUAGACUCGACUCUGCUGCUGGAGGACCACAUGAAAAGGCUAGAAAUAUUUUGUUAGCUACAGGACCGGCCGGAUGCCAACAGAAUCGGCCAGCCAAGCAAGGGCUUCGUAAAAAAAAAUCUAAAAAUCAUGAUUGUGCAUGCUAUGUAUACAGUGAUCCCAUCAGGUAACAGAAUAAGAGAACAAGCUAGAAGAGUCGAAAAAACGACAGCAAGAUUCAUCGACAGUAAGAAGGUGAAAGGUAGGGGAUAAAUCUGAAAUGAAUGCAGUUUGUGUAAAGCCAUCACCCGGCUAUUUGGAACCCCAGCAAAAAAAUCUGAUCUCAUCUCUAAUAAGAAUCCAAGCCAUGUCACAGCAGUUUGUGUGAGCUUUGCCUGCCGCCGCCUUUAUUCUAAUCCUGAAUCUAUAAACCAGGUCUGUAGGGAGGCGCUAGGUAUACGAUCGUCGCCGUACGGCGUCCUUACCCUACAGCGUGGGAUCCGUAAAAAGAAGUGGGAUGGGAACGCAUCGUAGCGGCCGGCGUGCAAGUAAACUAGAUAAGGAAGACAGAGGAUGCAUGGAUUGGUUGGUUGUUGUUACGUACCUUGCGACGACGACGACGACGAGAGCCAAGGCUUCGUUCCGGUCGCCGGGCGCUGCACUUUUUCAGGGUCACCGGGCGCUGCACUUUUUAUGUUCCUUGCGACAACGACGACGAGAGCCAAGGCUUCGUUCCGGGCGCUGCACUUUUUCAGGGUCAGGGGGUGUCGAGACGAUCGCCGCUGGUGUUUCGGCGAGCUUAGAGAGGUGGGUGCGGG
rnacentral:lncRNA from 1 species